rnacentral:rRNA from 1 species
GAAAAAGAACCUGAAACCGUGUACGUACAAGCAGUGGGAGCACCUUCGGGUGUGACUGCGUACCUUUUGUAUAAUGGGUCAGCGACUUAUAUUCAGUAGCAAGGUUAACCGUAUAGGGGAGCCGCAGGGAAACCGAGUCUUAACUGGGCGUUAAGUUGCAGGGUAUAGACCCGAAACCCGGUGAUCUAGCCAUGGGCAGGUUGAAGGUUGGGUAACACUAACUGGAGGACCGAACCGACUAAUGUUGAAAAAUUAGCGGAUGACUUGUGGCUGGGGGUGAAAGGCCAAUCAAACCGGGAGAUAGCUGGUUCUCCCCGAAAGCUAUUUAGGUAGCGCCUCGUGAACUCAUCUUCGGGGGUAGAGCACUGUUUCGGCUAGGGGGUCAUCCCGACUUACCAAACCGAUGCAAACUA